rnacentral:rRNA from 1 species
AUUGAACGCUGGCGGCAUGCUUUACACAUGCAAGUCGAACGGCAGCGCGGGCUUCGGCCUGGCGGCGAGUGGCGAACGGGUGAGUAAUGCAUCGGAACGUGCCCAGUAGUGGGGGAUAGCCCGGCGAAAGCCGGAUUAAUACCGCAUACGACCUGAGGGUGAAAGCGGGGGACCGAAAGGCCUCGCGCUAUUGGAGCGGCCGAUGUCGGAUUAGCUAGUUGCUGGGGUAAAGGCUUACCAAGGCGACGAUCCGUAGCUGGUCUGAGAGGACGACCAGCCACACUGGGACUGAGACACGGCCCAGACUCCUACGGGAGGCAGCAGUGGGGAAUUUUGGACAAUGGGGGCAACCCUGAUCCAGCCAUGCCGCGUGCGGGAAGAAGGCCUUCGGGUUGUAAACCGCUUUUGUUCGGGAAGAAAUCCUCUGGGCUAAUACCCCGGGGGGAUGACGGUACCGGAAGAAUAAGCACCGGCUAACUACGUG